rnacentral:rRNA from 1 species
GACAGCAGUCGCCGCGGUAAUACAGAGGGUGCGAGCGUUAAUCGGAUUUACUGGGCGUAAAGCGUGCGUAGGCGGCUUUUUAAGUCGGAUGUGAAAUCCCUGAGCUUAACUUAGGAAUUGCAUUCGAUACUGGGAAGCUAGAGUAUGGGAGAGGAUGGUAGAAUUCCAGGUGUAGCGGUGAAAUGCGUAGAGAUCUGGAGGAAUACCGAUGGCGAAGGCAGCCAUCUGGCCUAAUACUGACGCUGAGGUACGAAAGCAUGGGGAGCAAACAGGAUUAGAUACCCCAGUAGUCCCUGUCUCUUAUAU